rnacentral:rRNA from 1 species
UCCGUAGGUGAACCUGCGGAAGGAUCAUUACCGAGUUGAUUCGAGCUCCGGCUCGACUCUCCCACCCAAUGUGUACCUACCUCUGUUGCUUUGGCGGGCCGCGGUCCUCCGCACCGGCGCCCUUCGGGGGGCUGGCCAGCGCCCGCCAGAGGACCAUAAAACUCCAGUCAGUGAACUUCGCAGUCUGAAAAACAAGUUAAUAAACUAAAACUUUCAACAACGGAUCUCUUGGUUCUGGCAUCGAUGAAGAACGCAGCGAAAUGCGAUAAGUAAUGUGAAUUGCAGAAUUCAGUGAAUCAUCGAAUCUUUGAACGCACAUUGCGCCCCUUGGUAUUCCGAGGGACAUGCCUGUUCGAGCGUCAUUUCAACCCUCAAGCUCUGCUUGGUAUUGGGCCCCGUCCUCCACGGACGCGCCUUAAAGACCUCGGCGGUGGCGUCUUGCCUCAAGCGUAGUAGAAAACACCUCGCUUUGGAGCGCACGGCGUCGCCCGCCGGACGAACCUUUGAAUUAUUUCUCAAGGUUGACCUCGGAUCAGGUAGGGAUACCCGCUGAACUUAAGCAUAUCAAUAAGCGGAGGA